rnacentral:lncRNA from 1 species
CUUAUUAAUUUAUAUAUUAAAAAUGUAAAGUAAGCAAGUCGUCACCAGAGAGUUUAUCUCGUUCAUCUUAAAAACUUCGGUAUCGUGCCGCCCUAAUGUGGAACUUUUGCUCCAGAAAAGCAACAUUUACAUGGACUGUAAUUAAGGCAGAUUUUAGUAUUUCUCAAUAACAUUAUUUAUUAACAUUGUUCAGUCUAAUAAUGAAUAGAUAUUAAAGCAGAGAACUGGUAGAAACAUAAUAAAAAAUGAGUUUUAAACAAUAUUCCACCUAAACUGGAAUUUAAGCCAGCCAGUAACACACCCAUAAUACUUAUUAAUAACAAUAAAAUGGAAGCACAGUUACCACUUUCUAAGCUUUUAAACGGUAUUUGGCUUGUUGUAGGUUGAAGCCAAAGCCAACAGUUCAGCAUCAUGUCUUUUUACCCUCACAGUUCUCCACUUAAUAGACGGUCAAAUCAACAUUUUCCAACCUUUUAAACCACACUGACCAAUUGGCGCAUAACUAAUCACCCAAAAGACAAACAGCUGUUGAAAUAAGAUCCACGCCCAUUACAGCGCCCUCCGUGCACCUCCUUCUCUGUCUUUCUGCCAGUCUUCAUAAUUCAUCUCGUGGUCCCCUCUUUUGGGAGGCGCCUCUGCCAGCCAACUUUACAUGUCUCGUCAUUACUUUCUGCCACUGAGACAGAGACAUAAAACAUUCAGGUGUGCUUUCCUGGGAGCAGCCACGCCGUGAACCGUGGAAUAAGUUAAACAUACGGCGAAGGGAAGCAGCCUGUCAGAGGUGAGACUGGCAGGAGCGAUGCAGAGAGGGGUGUUUUCUCCUGCGCGCUGCUGCCUGCGGGUGAGUGACGGGCGGCCGAAGAGAUGCUGUCACACGGCUGGAACAUGAUGGAAGCUCCUGCGUCUCCUUGGAAAAGGAACACAGGCCUUCAGACUUGCAGAACACGGCAUGCGGGUGUGUUUUGUGUGCAGAUGCAUCCCGUCUUUUUCAUUAGCUGACUGGUCCUGAUGGAUGGAUAUACACGGAAGCAAUUUUUCUGGCACCUCAAAGUCCUGAUUCCUGGGUAAAUGUUCAUGCUAGCAUGUUCAAAGCUGCAUUUAUGGUAAAUGACAUCUGUCAGACAAACGUCAGAGGGUGCGGCACACAUCUGUAGCCACC